rnacentral:lncRNA from 1 species
CGCGCACACGCUCACCUGCCCCCGCAGCAGGUGAACCGCGGACAUGACACCACAGCAGGUGGAGCGUCGCAAACGCGGCUGCUCCCCAGAAACUUUGACUAUUCCACCGCAACAAGCAUUAAUCACGCACGGUCCCGCAGUGCAAACGGCGAGUGGAGCUCGGAAUCUACACCAGAGUGAGGGGAGAAGACAGACGACAGUCGAAAGGAACGCGUGUCUGCAGGAAGUUCACCACGGGGAAAGCUUUUCUACACAUUUCAAACUAAAAACAACGAGGAGCCGCUCCUGAGGACAGCAGCUUUGCUGCCUCCUCCUUCCUAUAAUGGGGGCCACAUUAUCAUGCCCCCUUUUCAGCACGAGAGCGUUCUGGUCCCCCCCAGACGUGCCUCAACUACAAAAUACGGUCCAGUUGAACAAUCCAACCCUCUCUCCCUCUCGGCUCCCGCUGGCUGCCGCAGAUCACACGCAACUUGUCCACAAAGUCGGCAAAGCUGGAGGUUCUCACGCACACGCACACGCACCACCCACCUUGGCUGCCGCAGACGAGCACCCCGAGGAGGAAGGCGAGUUUCAGCAUCAUUCUGGAGGCAGGUUUGGGGCUGUCGGACGUUGUUUUCAGCUGCGGAAUAAAAAGGAUGUGAGCAGAGAAAAAAGCUGGGCUCCGCUCAUCCGCCGUGUCGAUCCUCCGCUGGCAAAUGCGCUGCCUCGGCUGCUUGAUGCCUUCCUGGACGCGCGCUCCCGCUCCAAGCGCGUUCACCGCGUGUGCGCUGCGCUGAGGACCCAGAUGCUCGUUUUGAAUGAUCCACCAGAAAGGACGCCCGUCUUGGAGGCUGCAACUCCCCACAGUUGCCAGGCUGAGUGAGGCAAUGAAAACACAAAGACACUCCCCAACAGCCAUCUCGAGGGCUGCUGGGAACUUACCUGAUUCUGACAGGCAGGGGGUUUUGUCACAACGUCAAGUGUGUCCUUUUCCUGGACAUCAUCACACACAGCGUGGAGAUGCAAAAGCAUGCACUUUAGACAAAAAUAAUCACUUCUAAUUACAUAAAUAAAUGAGGAAAUGUCAAAAGGGGAAAAAAAGGUAACAUGAACAGAUUUCGACAGGUCAGUAGGAACUGACUUUGUACCGGAAAAACAGUUCCAAAGGGCAGCACACAACAGCAUAUUUAUUCCUGUUUGCAAUGCCAGUGGGAUUACAGCUAUUAAAACUAAAUGUUUUAUAGAGAAACAGCUGUCACAUAAUCAUAUAUACAAGAAGUGACUCCCUCAUUUUAUUUAGUUCAUUGAAAAAGUAUAGAUUCUUCAUAAAUGAUAAAAUGAUUUCAUUAAUAGCUAAUGAGCACAAGGAGGAACUCCAGGUUAAAGGCUAAUUACGUGUGAACGUUGGGGAUACGUAUGCAGAUUGGUCCACUGAACAGCUUAGCAUGAAAACCCAAAGCCCAUGACCAUUUCAAGAGUAAAUAGGAUGCUUGGGAUCCACUUAAAUAAAUCAUACCAGUG